GCAUGUUGGAAAGUCUAGAGAGA
rnacentral:piRNA from 1 species